AUCGUAAAGCUCUGUUGUUAAGGAAGAACGAGUGUGAGAAUGGAAAGUUCAUACUGUGACGGUACUUACCAGAAAGGGACGGCUAACUACGUGCCAGCAGCCGCGGUAAUACGUAGGUCCCGAGCGUUGUCCGGAUUUAUUGGGCGUAAAGCGAGCGCAGGCGGUUAGAUAAGUCUGAAGUUAAAGGCAGUGGCUCAACCAUUGUAGGCUUUGGAAACUGUUUAACUUGAGUGCAGAAGGGGAGAGUGGAAUUCCAUGUGUAGCGGUGAAAUGCGUAGAUAUAUGGAGGAACACCGGUGGCGAAAGCGGCUCUCUGGUCUGUAACUGACGCUGAGGCUCGAAAGCGUGGGGAGCGAACAGGAUUAGAUACCCUGGUAGUCCACGCCGUAAACGAUGAGUGCUAGGUGUUAGGUCCUUUCCGGGACUUAGUGCCGCAGCUAACGCAUUAAGCACUCCGCCUGGGGAGUACGACCGCAAGGUUGAAACUCAAAGGAAUUGACGGC
rnacentral:rRNA from 1 species